GCUGCUCGACCGCCAGCCUUCCCCGCUGGUUCUGUCUCCGGACUCUGUUCCAUGUCGGAUUACUCUUUGCCGUGGAGUUACUUUCAGUUCUGGUUGUGCGUUCUGUUGGACAUUUGCUCGCGUUGUGGAUUACUCGUCCCGAGCGGAUACUCUUCGUUGCUUUUCGUCACGGCUUAAGAGAGUGUGUUUCUUUUGGUUGUGUUGUUUUUCAAUAAACUAUGAUUGACUUACUUCCGCUUCCGCAUCAUGGUCAUCAGCCUGACAGUAGGCAAGGGGUCGAGAAUGCAGGUUGAUGAUUUUGAUGAGGAAAUAACUUAAAUGGAUCCCACCUAAUGCUCUGGUCCGAAGCCCCGUGAGAUGACAGAUGUGUCCUAUCCUAGAUCUACGUCAGCUGAACCGCUCUUUGAUGAGGGUCCAGAUCAAAAUGCUGACCCUCAAGCAGGAUGUGUCCCAGAUCAUCAGAGGACUGGUUUGUCACAUAAUUUGGCUGCCAGGUCUCUGGAGUUGGGACUUGCAACAAGAACAACCAGGCAAACCCACAAAGUAUGUAUUAGGAAAGGACAUUUGCAAGCUAAUGGUAAAUAAAAAAGGCCCAGAUACAGGGUGUUUCCCAAGCUAAUGGUAAUUGGGGAGGGCCCAGAUUUAAGGGAGUUUCCGAAGUUAAUAGUAAAUCAGGAUGCUCAAUGUGUUUAAAAGAAAAGUGAAAUGUAAUUUGCAUCAGACCA